AAGAAGUUACAUCUGUCCACACAGAAAAUUGCAUCUCAACAAACCUGUCAUUGGUACGCGAACUGCAUUUUAGUCACUCAGUAAAGUGAUAACUCAAAAUAUCAUUGUCAACAGAUCUGGAGAAAUUGCCACUGCGUCUUUAGACCGUUUUCGUCAGACGAGAGACACAGUUCUGACUAUGAUUACUGGUUGCUGUACGUAUCUAUCCACAUUAAGGCUGUUGAAAGAGACUCGAGAAGAUUCAAGACAGCUCUUAGAAGAUUUUGCAGUUUAAAAGUGACGUAAUUGUGAAAUAAGUGUGCAGAUGAGUGAUUAAACUGUGUUUUAU